rnacentral:rRNA from 1 species
UACGAGGGGGGCGAGCGUUGUUCGGAAUUAUUGGGCGUAAAGGGUGCGUAGGCGGUUUGGUAAGUCUUAUGUGAAAUCCUGGAGCUCAACUCCAGAACUGCCUUUGAUACUGAGGAUCUUGAGUUCGGGAGAGGUGAGUGGAACUGCGAGUGUAGAGGUGAAAUUCGUAGAUAUUCGCAAGAACACCAGUGGCGAAGGCGGCUCACUGGCCCGAUACUGACGCUGAGGCACGAAAGCGUGGGGAGCAAACAGG